rfam:Canis lupus familiaris chromosome 19, whole genome shotgun sequence.
GUGCUUGCUUUAGUAGCACAUACACUAAAAAUUGGAAUGAUGCAGAGAAGAUUAGCAUGGUGCCUGCACAAGGAUGUUGGUGAAGUCUAACAUGUAAGCCACUUUAGC